CCUGGUUGAUCCUGCCAGUAGUCAUAUGCUUGUCUCAAAGAUUAAGCCAUGCAUGUCUAAGUAUAAACAACUCUGUACUUGUGAAACUGCGAAUGGCUCAUUAUAUCAGUUAUAGUUUAUUUGAUGGUCUUUUACUGCUUGGAUAACCGUAGUAACCUAGGGCUAAUACAUGCGAAAAGUCCCGACCUCACGGAAGGGAUGUAUUUAUUAGAUACAAAACCAAUGCAGGGCAACCUGGUUUUUGGUGAUUCAUAAUAACUGUGCGAAUCGCAUGGCCUCGUGCCGGCGAUGAAUCAUAUAAAUUUCUGCCCUAUCAACUUUCGAUGGUAGUAUAGAGGACUACCAUGGUUAUAACGGGUAACGGAGAAUUAGGGUUCGAUUCCGGAGAGGGAGCCUGAGAGAUGGCUACCACUUCUAUGGAAGGCAGCAGGCGCGCAAAUUACCCAAUCCCGACUCGGGGAGGUAGUGACAAUAAAUAUCAAUGCAGGUCAUUUAUGUCUUGCAAUUGGAAUGAGUACAAUUUAAACCCCUUAACGAGUAACAAUUGGAGGGCAAGUCUGGUGCCAGCAGCCGCGGUAAUUCCAGCUCCAAUAGCGUAUAUUAACGUUGCUGCAGUUAAAAAGCUCGUAGUUGGAUCUUGGAACUGGGUCGACUCGGUCUGCCAGCAGGUAGUACUGGUCGGCCCGUUCUCGCCUACUGGUGUUCCGCCUGUGCUCUUUACUGAGUGCGGGUUCGGCGCUUUUUUGCGUCGGCCAAUGGGGCCGCAAGGCUUCAUUGCUGGGGAUCCAGUUCGUUUACUGUGAGUAAAUUAGAGUGUUUAAAGCAGCCUCUUUGGGCUUUGAAUACGUUAGCAUGGGAUAAUAGAAUAGGACUUUGGUUCUAUUUUGUUGGUUUCUAGGACCGAAGUAAUGAUUAAUAGGGAUAGUUGGGGGCAUUUGUAUUUAAUUGUCAGAGGUGAAAUUCCUGGAUUUAUGAAAGACAAACUACUGCGAAAGCAUUUGCCAAGGAUGUUUUCAUUAAUCAAGAUCGAAAGUUAGGGGAUCGAAGACGAUCAGAUACCGUCGUAGUCUUAACCAUAAACUAUGCCGACCAGGGAUUUGAGGACGUUACAUGGAUGACUCCUUGAGCACCUUGUGAGAAAUCACAAGUUUUCGGGUUCCGGGGGGAGUAUGGUCGCAAGGCUGAAACUUAAAGGAAUUGACGGAGGGGCACCACCAGGAGUGGAGCCUGCGGCUUAAUUUGAC
rnacentral:rRNA from 1 species